CCUACGGGAGGCAGCAGUGAGGAAUAUUGGUCAAUGGACGGAAGCCUGAACCAGCCAAGUCGCGUGAGGGAUUAAGGCCCUGCGGGUCGUAAACCUCUUUUGCAGGGGAGCAAUGGUCCCGACGCGUCCGGUCCGGGAGAGUACACGGAGAAAAAGCAUCGGCUAAUUCGGGACCAGCAGCUGCGUUAAUACGGAGGAUGCGAGCUUUAUCGGGUUUUAUUGGGUUUAAAGGGUGCGUGGGCGGGCGUUUAAGCCGUCGGUAAAAUUUCGGGGUGCAACCCCGGCCUGCCGUCGAAACUGGGUGCCUUGAGUGCGCGAGAAGUAUGCGGAAUGCGUGGUGUAGCGGUGAAAUGCAUAGAUAUCACGCAGAACCCCGAUUGCGAAGGCAGCAUACCGGCGCCCUACUGACGCUGAGGCACGAAAGUGCGGGUAUCGAACAGGAUUAGAUACCCUUGUAGUC
rnacentral:rRNA from 1 species